rnacentral:misc_RNA from 1 species
UAAAUUGCGAUAAAUGGUGUGAUACGCACAUAUUGAACAUCGAAGCUUCGAAUGCACAUUGCGCUGAUGGCUCUUCAUGCCAUUAGCACAUCUGGCUCAGGGUCACUACUCAGAAAGAGACAACUGUCUCACUAUUUCUUGCUCAGUUCUCUCAGGUGUAUUUGAGAGCUGUUCUUGAAGUAUAAAAACAUGCUUGACUGCGUCUAAGGCUUGGUGUUUAUGAAUCGUGUGGAUCGACGACAGCUUCUUUCCUCCUUCGUAAUGCGCUUUUCCGACGGCGGUAAAUAAGAGCGAUUCUUAUACGUGACCUGAGCUCAGGUGUGAGUACCCGCUGGAUUUAA